rnacentral:rRNA from 1 species
GCUGGAUUCGCUAGUAAUCGCGCAUCAGCCACGGCGCGGUGAAUACGUUCCCGGGCCCUUGUACACACCGCCCGUCAAGCCAUGGAAGCCGGGAGUGCCUGAAGUACGCGACCGCAAGGAGCGUCCUAAGGUAAAACCGGUGACUGGGGCUAAGUCGUAACAAGGUACC